rfam:Schistosoma mattheei strain Denwood, Zambia genome assembly, scaffold: SMTD_scaffold0012843
AUUCAUUUGACAAGUCCUAAAUAGAACGAAACGUGCGUCCUGGAU